CUGACAAUACUCAUAUACGUUGUCCGUGUUUGAGGAGAUAUGUUAUGGGUUUCUGGUGAGAUCUGGGAAACUGACUAAAAAAUAACUUCUAGCUAUACUAUUAGGGAAACUUUGUUCCUUUCAACAACUGUAAAUGUUGUUUGAUGAGGUAUACAUACUGCAGUUCUUAUGCUAGUGUUGUUAUUUAUGAGUGUAGUCAUUUGUAUACUGAUUUUUAUUCUAAUUUUUAAUGCCCCUUAAUGCGACAG
rnacentral:lncRNA from 1 species